rnacentral:rRNA from 1 species
GAUGAACGCUAGCGGGAGGCCUAACACAUGCAAGCCGAGCGGUAUUGUUUCUUCGGAAAUGAGAGAGCGGCGUACGGGUGCGGAACACGUGUGCAACCUGCCUUUAUCUGGGGGAUAGCCUUUCGAAAGGAAGAUUAAUACUCCAUAAUAUAUUGAACGGCAUCGUUUAAUAUUGAAAGCUCCGGCGGAUAGAGAUGGGCACGCGCAAGAUUAGCUAGGUGGUGAGGUAACGGCUCACCAAGGCGAUGAUCUUUAGGGGGCCUGAGAGGGUGAUCCCCCACACUGGUACUGAGACACGGACCAGACUCCUACGGGAGGCAGCAGUGAGGAAUAUUGGUCAAUGGGUGCAAGCCUGAACCAGCCAUCCCGCGUGAAGGACGACUGCCCUAUGGGUUGUAAACUUCUUUUGUAUAGGGAUAAACCUACCCUCGUGAGGGUAGCUGAAGGUACUAUACGAAUAAGCACCGGCUAACUCCGUGCCAGCAGCCGCAGUAAAAC